GACGUAGGGCGCGAGCGUUGUCCGGAUUUAUUGGGCGUAAAGAGCUCGUAGGCGGCUUGUCGCGUCGACUGUGAAAUCCCGUGGCUCAACUGCGGGUCUGCAGUCGAUACGGGCAGGCUAGAGUUCGGUAGGGGAGACUGGAAUUCCUGGUGUAGCGGUGAAAUGCGCAGAUAUCAGGAGGAACACCGGUGGCGAAGGCGGCAUCCUGGACCAACACUGACGCUGAUGAGCGAAAGCCAGGGGAGCAAACGGG
rnacentral:rRNA from 1 species